GCCUGUUCGAGCGUCAUUACAACCCUCAAGCUCUGCUUGGUGUUGGGUGUCACCUGUGUGCACCCCAAAAUCAGUGGCGAUGCCUGCAGCUUCCAGCGUAGUAAAUCUCUCGCUACGGAGUCUGUCAGGACCACUGCCAACAACCCUCUAUAACAUCAAAGGUUGACCUCGGAUCAGGUAGGGAUACCCGCUGAACUUAA
rnacentral:misc_RNA from 1 species